rnacentral:piRNA from 1 species
UAGCUAGUCAAUUAUAUUUGCCUAAAUGCUC